rnacentral:rRNA from 1 species
CAGCCGCCACGGUAAUACGAAGGGGGCUAGCGUUGUUCGGAUUUACUGGGCGUAAAGCGCACGUAGGCGGACUUUUAAGUCAGGGGUGAAAUCCCGGGGCUCAACCCCGGAACUGCCUUUGAUACUGGAAGUCUUGAGUAUGGUAGAGGUGAGUGGAAUUCCGAGUGUAGAGGUGAAAUUCGUAGAUAUUCGGAGGAACACCAGUGGCGAAGGCGGCUCACUGGACCAUUACUGACGCUGAGGUGCGAAAGCGUGGGGAGCAAACAGGAUUAGAUACCCCAGUAGUCCCUGUCUCUUAUAC